rnacentral:snoRNA from 1 species
GCCACAUGAUGAGUCCUAGGCGAAUGUGACUCCUUGUGGAUUUGAUCUCUGGCCUUUUCCCUGGGUCUGUAAUCUUGGUGACUGUGUAGAAGUUUCUCGCUGUUGCUGUAAGGCCAGACCAAGAUUACCUCUAUUUGAGGGGGUCUCCCACAAUGACGCAUUGAUCUGCCCACCAGAGUGUGUGACGGCAGAGAUCAGUGGAGACCUACAGUACAUCUACUGGAAAACUGUGAAGGGACUGGCUCAAAUCAUGUCACAAGGAGACAUGAGCACAAGUCUUUGGUAAUCUGAUGGCU